rnacentral:rRNA from 1 species
AUAACCUACCUAUAAGACUGGGAUAACUUCGGGAAACCGGAGCUAAUACCGGAUAACAUAUUGAACCGCAUGGUUCAAUAGUGAAAGGCGGCUUUGCUGUCACUUAUAGAUGGAUCCGCGCCGUAUUAGCUAGUUGGUAAGGUAACGGCUUACCAAGGCAACGAUACGUAGCCGACCUGAGAGGGUGAUCGGCCACACUGGAACUGAGACACGGUCCAGACUCCUACGGGAGGCAGCAGUAGGGAAUCUUCCGCAAUGGGCGAAAGCCUGACGGAGCAACGCCGCGUGAGUGAUGAAGGUCUUCGGAUCGUAAAACUCUGUUAUCAGGGAAGAACAAAUGUGUAAGUAACUGUGCACAUCUUGACGGUACCUGAUCAGAAAGCCACGGCUAACUACGUGCCAGCAGCCGCGGUAAUACGUAGGUGGCAAGCGUUAUCCGGAAUUAUUGGGCGUAAAGCGCGCGUAGGCGGUUUUUUAAGUCUGAUGUGAAAGCCCACGGCUCAACCGUGGAGGGUCAUUGGAAACUGGAAAACUUGAGUGCAGAAGAGGAAAGUGGAAUUCCAUGUGUAGCGGUGAAAUGCGCAGAGAUAUGGAGGAACACCAGUGGCGAAGGCGACUUUCUGGUCUGUAACUGACGCUGAUGUGCGAAAGCGUGGGGAUCAAACAGGAUUAGAUACCCUGGUAGUCCACGCCGUAAACGAUGAGUGCUAAGUGUUAGGGGGUUUCCGCCCCUUAGUGCUGCAGCUAACGCAUUAAGCACUCCG